GGGUCAAUAGGUUGGUCGUGCCACCGGUACGUACUGGUCUCACUGAUUCCUCCUUCCUGAAGAACCGUAAUGCCAUUAAUUUGGUGUUGCGGGGAAACAGGACUGUUACUUUGAAAAAAUUAGAGUGUUUAAAGCAAGCUAACGCUUGAAUACAUUAGCAUGGAAUGAUGAAAUAGGACGAUCGAUCCUAUUUUGUUGGUUUCUAGGAUUGACGUA
rnacentral:rRNA from 1 species